rnacentral:rRNA from 1 species
UCCGUAGGUGAACCUGCGGAAGGAUCAUUCAUAAUAAGUGUUUUAUGGCACUUUUUUAAAUCCAUAUCCACCUUGUGUGCAAUGUCAGGGUUGAUUUUCUCUCGAGAGGAUCAACCCCAAACAUCAACUAUUAUCUCAACUCUUUGUCUGAAAAAUAUUAUGAAUAAAACAAUUCAAAAUACAACUUUCAACAACGGAUCUCUUGGCUCUCGCAUCGAUGAAGAACGCAGCGAAAUGCGAUACGUAAUGUGAAUUGCAGAAUUCAGUGAAUCAUCGAAUCUUUGAACGCAUAUUGCGCUCUUUGGUAUUCCGAAGAGCAUGCUUGUUUGAGUAUCAGUAAACACCUCAAAGCCUUUUUUCUUUUUUGAACAAAGGCUUUGGACUUGAGCAAUCCCAACACCAAUCUUUUUAAAGAGAGGGGGCGGGUUGCUUGAAAUGCAGGUGCAGCUGGACAUUCUCCUGAGCUAAAAGCAUAUUCAUUUAGUCCCGUCAAACGGAUUAUUACUUUUGCUGCAGCUAACAUAAAGGGAGUUUGACCAUUUUGGCUGACUGAUGCAGGAUUUUUACAAGAGUCUUCAAAACCUCUUGUUAAACUCGAUCUCAAAUCAAGUAAGACUACCCGCUGAACUUAAGCAUAUCAAUAAGCGGAGGA